rnacentral:rRNA from 1 species
AUUGAACGCUGGCGGCAUGCCUUACACAUGCAAGUCGAACGGCAGCACGGGAGCAAUCCUGGUGGCGAGCGGCGAACGGGUGAGUAAUAUAUCGGAACGUGCCCAGUCGUGGGGGAUAACGCAGCGAAAGCUGUGCUAAUACCGCAUACGAUCUACGGAUGAAAGCGGGGGAUCGCAAGACCUCGCGCGAUUGGAGCGGCCGACAUCAGAUUAGCUAGUUGGUGGGGUAAAGGCCGACCAAGGCGACGAUCUGAAGCGGGUCUGAGAGGACGACCAGCCACACUGGAACUGGGACACGGUCCAGACUCCUACGGGAGGCAGCAGUGGGGAAUUUUGGACAAUGGGCGCAAGCCUGAUCCAGCAAUGCCGCGUGCAGGAUGAAGGCCUUCGGGUUGUAAACUGCUUUUGUACGGAACGAAACGGCCCUUUCUAAUACAGGGGGCUAAUGACGGUACCGUAAGAAUAAGCACCGGCUAACUACGUGCCAGCAGCCGCCGUAA